UGUCCAUACUACUUUGAUAAUACCGAUUCCCGUAUGAUCACCACAGUUAAGCAACGUUGAGCCUGGUCUAUAGCUAGAUGGGUGAUUACUAGGGAAUACCGGGUACUGU